ACAACAACAUUUGGACCGUCGGUUUACUGAGCAAUAUCACCUGCUCGGUGGAAGAUUUUUCCUCCGUUGUUACA
rnacentral:pre_miRNA from 1 species